rnacentral:tRNA from 1 species
GGCCGGUUAGCUCUGUCAGUCAGAGCGUGAUGCUGAUAACACCAAGGCCGUGGGUUUGAGCCCCGUUCGGUCC